rnacentral:pre_miRNA from 7 species
AGCCCAGUUUCUUCACAUCACUAUAAAUUCCAACUGAAAGACCCCCAUUUUGGGGAGACCCUUGCUCAAGUCCCGGGAUGAGCCGAUGCCCCAAUAACUCGAGAGAAACC